rnacentral:rRNA from 1 species
UACGUAGGGGGCGAGCGUUAUCCGGAUUUAUUGGGCGUAAAGCGUGCGUAGGCGGUUUAUUAAGUUUAAGAUAAAAGCCCGAGGCUCAACCUCGGUUCGUCUUAAAAACUGGUAGACUUGAGUAUGGUAGAGGCAAACGGAAUUUCUAGUGUAGCGGUGAAAUGCGUAGAUAUUAGAAGGAACACCAGUGGCGAAGGCGGUUUGCUGGGCCAUCACUGACGCUGAGGCACGAAAGCGUGGGGAGCAAAUA